AACCGGUCUUGAAACACGGACCAAGGAGUUCAACAUGCGCGGUAGUUGUUGGGACUUGAAGCCCGCUAGCAAAGUGAAAGCAAGACAUAGUGUAACGCUGUGUAUUGGCGUGAUCCCGUCACUUGGUCUGCAAUGACCGAGCCGGGCGCAUCGCCGGCCCGUCAUAAGCUCACGUGGCUGUGGCGGAGCUUGAGCGUGCACGUUGAGACCCGAAAGAUGGUGAACUAUGCCUGGGCAGGAUCGGCGGUGGCGUCAAAAGCUUACGGGCGUGAGCCUGGCUGGAGCCGCCGCCGGUGCAGAUCUUGGUGGUAGUAGCAAAUACUCAAGCGAGAACCUUGAAGACUGAAGUGGGGAAGGGUUCCAUGUGAACAGCAGUUGAACAUGGGUCAGUCGAUCCUAAGGUAUCGGCGAAAGCCGUUCAGAAGCGGUGUGGAUAGUGUCUUCGGGCACUGGUUGCUGUAUUGUCCUUACGGUUGAUGCAGUGAUCACCGCACCUACCGAAAGGGAAUCGGGUUAAUAUUCCCGAACCCGGCAUCGGAUAUUGGUCUGUCUUCGGGCAGACACAUGCGGUAACGCAAAUGAACUCGGAAACGCUGACACGUGCCCUAGAAAGAGUUGUCUUUUCUUCAUAAGGCACAGGCUCCCUGGAAUCGGAUCAUCCGGCGAUAGGGAGAUGGUGUCCGUAGAGCACCGCGGUUCUUGCGGUGUCUGGUGCGCACGUGUCGGUCCUUGAAAAUCCGAGGGAGAGUGUGAUUUUCGUGCCGGAUCGUACCCAUAUCCGCAGCAGGUCUCC
rnacentral:rRNA from 1 species